CAGAUAUAGAUGGACUCAGCACCACAUAUGCAGCAUUGUUGCACGACAUUAAGAGUAAAAAUGAACGAGACAAAAAUAUGAGUAGAAAUGAACACGAUCAAAUUAGGAGAGAAAGUAGCAUGGAUGAGAGGGAAUCAAUAACGCCGAUAGGGCACAUCACACACUGAAUAUCUUAAAGAAAAAUUGCGCCAUUGCCCAAAAAAGGAAGUGAUUUUCGUAGCGUAAGAUUUAAUAGUUAAAUUCCAUCCAAACCUUUUUAAACUUAACGACUCUUAACUUUUAGUAUGUACCAAAAAAACCUACACCAGACAGUUAUAGUUCGACAAAACAUAGGACAAAGAACGAAAACUAUAUUUACCCCCUGAGGAAGACACAAUACCCGUGUCGAAACGUCGGGCAAAUAAGCACCUCGUUUUACUUUAAUAAAGACUGCGUUGCCGGAAAAUUAAGAUUAAAACAUACAGUCGAUACUCCACAAAA